CCUACGGGAGGCAGCAGUGAGGAAUAUUGGUCAAUGGGCGAGAGCCUGAACCAGCCAAGUCGCGUGAGGGAAGACGGUCCUAUGGAUUGUAAACCUCUUUUGCCGGGGAGCAAACAGCGGUACGCGUACCGCAUCGAGAGUACCCGGAGAAAAAGCAUCGGCUAACUCCGUGCCAGCAGCCGCGGUAAUACGGAGGAUGCGAGCGUUAUCCGGAUUUAGGGGGUUUAAAGGGUGAGCAGGCGGGUAGUUAAGUCAGGGGUAAGAUUUCGGGGCACAACCACGACAAGCCGUUGAAACUGGCUUGCCAGAGUGGGCGAGAAGUAUGCGGAAGGCGUGGUGGUGCGGUGAAAUGCAUAGAUAUCACGCAGAACUCCGAUUGCGAAGGCAGCAUACCGGCGCCCAACUGACGCUCAGGCACGAAAGCGUGGGUAUCGAACAGGAUUAGAUACCCUAGUAGUC
rnacentral:rRNA from 1 species